UCUUGUCCUACCCUCAGAUGCUUUGGAGAAUAGCUUGACUUCCUCUUCUUUGUGGCAGCCCGAGAUAUUGGAACACUGCUAUCAUAUCACCCCUAGUCCAGUGGUGAGCUUCAAAUUUUUUAACAACCAGUUCUCUGCCCUAAUGACUGGCUGGAUGGGCAUGGCUGGAUGGGCAUGUGACUGGGUGUGUGUGGCCAACUCAACGGCACUUCUUUGCCUAAAAAAAGAUAGGUGGAAUGCUGUUUCUCUGCCGCAGCGCUUUCCGGAUGGGACUUACAGGACCCAAAGUGGCGGCUCACAGCUGCUAAAUUUCACUGUGCUGCACAAGACAUUCUCCCAGCAAGAGCAGCAGUGAAAAGAAACAGCUGCCGACCCAGAGAGCACAUGGAGUGUCUCUGCAAGCAACUGAGGCUUGCCCAAAACCAGGGGCCGGAAGGAGGGGCUGCAAGAUCCGAGAGAUGCUGGAGAUUCAACCCGGCUGCUUCUCUCCACUGCAUUGCUUUCCGGAUGGGACUUCUUACAGGCAGCCGUGAUGAGCAGAGCAUGGAGAUCAGCAUGGCUGGUGUGGUAAGCUGCAGCGAAGGCAGCAAGCAGGCGAGGUGCAGAGAUCAGCUGGGCCGCGUGGUCUGGGCAAGCGAGCCAGAGAGUAGCUGGGUGCGGACAUGACUCUAGCCACCAGCCAAGGCAGGCGAGGUGAGAUAAGAAACUUAAUAUGUAGUACUUUGAUGGCAACUGAGCUGAUCAUUGCCAAUGGCUGGAAUCUGCCCAGCUCCUACUGGCUAUUAGGCCACUCCCCUCCAGCUGUCUUCAGUGGAUUAUGGCUAUCUCCCAGGUUCUCCUUGUGAUUCACCAAUUUAAAUCAGUGUUGCUCUUCAUGUGAUCUCUGAAGUGAUGCUUUCCCUUCCUUGCAUGACAAGCAUGUUGGCAGGUUGUGCCAGGUUUUCCCCUCCCAAAUCUGUGUACAAGGAGACUGGGAGAGCGCAACAGAGUCUACAACUACAGAUCCCCCAUGCAGCGUGGUGAAAUGAUUGCUCAGCAGGAAGAUGUCAUGUCUGCCAACCCCCUAUGUGAGCAGCCGAUAUGCCUGCAAAAUGGACAGAGCAAGAAAGAUUGCAAGCAAAGAACCAGGACGGGUAAAGACCAUUCCAAAAGAAAAGCCAAACAACAUAAAAGUCUGAGACGAUUUCAACAGUGAAAGUAAAAAAUGCAUCCAGCAGAACUGCUCAGACUAAAAGCGUCAAUAUGGCAGAGAACUGAGAGCUGUAAAUGUUUAAGGACUCAAAAUAGAGACAAAUACUGCCCAGAGUCACUUCUCAGAAUGAGAUGGGUAGCAUAUAAAUUCAAUAAAUAAAUAAACCACUCUGUCAAAACUCUAUGCGUGGUUGGACCAAGCCCCAGCCCAUGUUAUGGGGAGCAGUUGGUCAAAUGUUUUCUUGAUGGCAAGGAAAUCACUCAAUUGUUGGACCAUAACCUGUCUUAUAUCAUUAUCAAUCACUGGUCUUAUUACUGAAGAAAUGUAGAGACUGGCAAAUUGACCAGUAUAUACUUGGGCCAUCUCAUAGCUUGGAGGAAAGCCCAUUAAACCAUUGUCUGCAUAUGCCUAUUAUAUAUUAAUCCACAGACCACAAUGCAAUUGAAUGCAAUAAUUUUCUAUUGCAGUUAAAUAAAUUUCAUACAAACGCUUCACAGUUUA